GAUGAACGCUGGCGGCGUGCUUAACACAUGCAAGUCGAGCGAUGAAGUUUCCUUCGGGAAACGGAUUAGCGGCGGACGGGUGAGUAACACGUGGGUAACCUGCCUCAUAGAGUGGAAUAGCCUUCCGAAAGGAAGAUUAAUACCGCAUAACGUUGAAAGAUGGCAUCAUCAUUCAACCAAAGGAGCAAUCCGCUAUGAGAUGGACCCGCGGCGCAUUAGCUAGUUGGUGGGGUAACGGCCUACCAAGGCGACGAUGCGUAGCCGACCUGAGAGGGUGAUCGGCCACAUUGGGACUGAGACACGGCCCAGACUCCUACGGGAGGCAGCAGUGGGGAAUAUUGCACAAUGGGGGAAACCCUGAUGCAGCAACGCCGCGUGAGUGAUGAAGGUUUUCGGAUCGUAAAGCUCUGUCUUAGGGGACGAUAAUGACGGUACUCAAGGAGGAAGCCACGGCUAACUACGUGCCAGCCGCCGCGGUAA
rnacentral:rRNA from 1 species